GUGGCGCGUGCAGGCCUGAAGGAGGCGAGAUGCCGGCGCCGCCGCCGUGGUCCGGUGGAGCAGGCCCCGCGGUCCAGCCUCUCCUGUGGUCCCCGCCCAGUCCGGGUGCUCGCCGCGGGGGCGCCCCUAGCCUGUCCGCCUCGGGCUCCAGCCCACGGCGCCGCCUCUCCGCAACUCCCGUGGCCGGGAGCCGGGUGCAACGUGUAGCUGAGGCCUCGCCCCGCACCCCUUGUCCCUUCGAUUCCCGGACAGGGGAGAGACACGUCCCCACCCGGAUCGGCGUCCCUGCACCGGGGCGCCUGGGAGCCCCGGUCGCCCGCUGUGCUCCCUCGUCCUGCGGAUCCGGAGCGGGCUCCAGUCCCCCGGCCCUACCUGGGCUGCUCCGGCCGAGGACCUAACUUGUGCCGGCUCCUGGCCGCCCCUCGCUGCCUGUUCCAUCAGCCUGACGCCGAGAGGCGCGCUCCGCUGGGACGCAUCCGUCUGCCGCCCUCGGCGCCGGCGUUAGUCUUGACAGUCCCGGCUUUGAGGGUUUAGUCAGGCUUCUCGGAACUUUAGUUACCGGGAUCCGGCCACUGCGCUACGCUCGCCCCGGCAGUUGGCGGCGCGAACUGCUUCGCACCUCCCCAGCUUAACCCCCACCCCCUCAGCUUGGUGAACCGUUACACCCCCUGCUCCCCCGGAGUUCCUCAUCCCCGAGCCCUCCAAGCCCCACAACCUCGAGUCCAGGUUAGACUCAGAAGAAGUGGGAGACACUAGGAGUUCUGGACACAGACGCUGAGCAGCCGUGGGAGGAGUCUCUUAAGAAAGUGCCUUCUGCAAAAUCAGCGUUGCAGCUACAUAAUCUACUUUAUUAAUUUUACUUUUGGAAAGUUAGCGUCAGGAAGUUGAGGGGAAAAGCUUGUGACGACCUUCCAAGAGUAGGGCUCUUCAGUUGAUGCUUAUGACACACACAACUUAAUCUGUAAAUUGCUGCAUUUGGGGCUGGCCUUACUGAAGUGGAGUCUCACCAAAGUCUAAAUUGAUGAAUUUUUUUUUCCUUUUCACUGUGUUUGGAGUGAUUUUUUUUUUGUAUAUUUUUGCUCUCAAACUGAUUUGAUGAGAUGAAUAUUGAAAUUGAUUUUUUCAAGUCAUGAACUGCUCUUUUAUAUAAGAGGCAUUAUAUGAUGCUGAAAAUCCUAAGCCCCAUUUUUCUGAGAAGGAAAUUGAAAACCUGCUAUAACUAGUUAUGUUCAAAAUGUCCUGUAGUUCUGAUCCUUUUAAAGCCAUGAUUGGACCCAGCACGGUGGCGCCUGCCAGUAAUCCCAGCAUUUGGGGAGCUGAAGAAGGUCAUAUAUAAGUUCAAGGACAGCUAGGCCUAUAGGAGACUCUAGUCUCAAAAAGUUGGAAAAAGAAGUUGGGGUGCAUCAUAACUUCUUUCUAGGUAGUUUAUUAGUGUUGAUAUAUAAUAAACUAUAGUGCCCACCUUACUGUC
rnacentral:lncRNA from 1 species